UACGUAGGUGGCAAGCGUUGUCCGGAAUUACUGGGUGUAAAGGGAGCGCAGGCGGGAAGCCAAGUCAGCUGUGAAAACUACGGGCUUAACUUGUAGACUGCAGUUGAAACUGGUUUUCUUGAGUGAAGUAGAGGUUGGCGGAAUUCCGAGUGUAGCGGUGAAAUGCGUAGAUAUACGGAGGAACACCGGUGGCGAAGGCGGCCAACUGGGCUUUAACUGACGCUGAGGCUCGAAAGUGUGGGGAGCAAACAGG
rnacentral:rRNA from 1 species